AGACCCGAAACCCGGUGAUCUAGCCAUGGGCAGGUUGAAGGUUGGGUAACACUAACUGGAGGACCGAACCGACUAAUGUUGAAAAAUUAGCGGAUGACCUGUGGCUGGGGGUGAAAGGCCAAUCAAACCGGGAGAUAGCUGGUUCUCCCCGAAAGCUAUUUAGGUAGCGCCUCGUGAAUUCAUCUCCGGGGGUAGAGCACUGUUUCGGCUAGGGGGCCAUCCCGGCUUACCAACCCGAUGCAAACUGCGAAUACCGGAGAAUGUUAUCACGGGAGACACACGGCGGGUGCUAACGUCCGUCGUGAAGAGGGAAACAACCCAGACCGCCAGCUAAGGUCCCAAAGUCAUGGUUAAGUGGGAAACGAUGUGGGAAGGCCCAGACAGCCAGGAUGUUGGCUUAGAAGCAGCCAUCAUUUAAAGAAAGCGUAAUAGCUCACUGGUCGAGUCGGCCUGCGCGGAAGAUGUAACGGGGCUAAACCAUGCACCGAAGCUGCGGCAGCGAACGUAUCACUUAAAGCGAUUCAGCGGGUUACGAUUGACGGAGCGAAGCGACGUCAAAGCGUAUACAAAGUCGAGUCGGUUUAAGGAUACGUUCGUUGGGUAGGGGAGCGUUCUGUAAGCCUGUGAAGGUGGCCUGUGAGGGUUGCUGGAGGUAUCAGAAGUGCGAAUGCUGACAUAAGUAACGAUAAAGCGGGUGAAAAGCCCGCUCGCCGGAAGACCAAGGGUUCCUGUCCAACGUUAAUCGGGGCAGGGUGAGUCGACCCCUAAGGCGAGGCCGAAAGGCGUAGUCGAUGGGAAACGGGUUAAUAUUCCCGUACUUGGUGUUACUGCGAAGGGGGGACGGAGAAGGCUAUGUUGGCCGGGCGACGGUUGUCCCGGUUUAAGCGUGUAGGUGUGUGUUCCAGGUAAAUCCGGUUCACUUUAACACUGAGGCGUGAUGACGAGGCACUACGGUGCUGAAGCAACAAAUGCCCUGCUUCCAGGAAAAGCCUCUAAGCAUCAGGUAACAUCAAAUCGUACCCCAAACCGACACAGGUGGUCAGGUAGAGAAUACCAAGGCGCUUGAGAGAACUCGGGUGAAGGAACUAGGCAAAAUGGUGCCGUAACUUCGGGAGAAGGCACGCUGACAC
rnacentral:rRNA from 2 species